GGGCCUGAUGAUGAGAAUAUACAAGUUUUCUCACAAUGGUCUGCUGAGAACUCUUUUGAUGCAAAAAUAUUCUCCAAAGUCC